AGCAGCCGCGGUAAUUCCAGCUCCAAUAGCGUAUAUUAAAGUUGUUGCAGUUAAAAAGCUCGUAGUUGAAUUUCGGGAUCAAUUUAUUGGUCGUGCUAUCGUACGUACUGGUAUUAUUGAUUCCUACCUUCUGACGAACCAUGAUGUCAUUAAUUUGGUGUCAUGGGGAAUCAGGACUGUUACUUUGAAAAAAUUAGAGUGUUUAAAGCAGGCUCACGCUUGAAUACAUUAGCAUGGAAUAACGAAAUAGGACGUUUGAUUCUAUUUUGUUGGUUUCUAGGAUCGACGUAAUGAUUAAUAGGGAUAGUUGGGGGCAUUAGUAUUCAAUUGUCAGAGGUGAAAUUCUUGGAUUUAUUGAAGACUAACUACUGCGAAAGCAUUUGCCAAGGAUGUUUUCAUUAAUCAAGAACGAAAGUUAGGGGAUCGAAGACGAUCAGAUACCGUCGUAGUCUUAACCAUAAACUAUGCCGACUAGGGAUCGGAUGAUGUAAUUUUUAAUGACUCAUUCGGCGCCUUAAC
rnacentral:rRNA from 1 species